GACGAACGCUGGCGGCGUGCCUAAUACAUGCAAGUAGAACGCACAGUUUAUGCCGUAGCUUGCUACACCAUAAACUGUGAGUUGCGAACGGGUGAGUAACGCGUAGGUAACCUGCCUGGUAGCGGGGGAUAACUAUUGGAAACGAUAGCUAAUACCGCAUAAUAUUGAUUAUUGCAUGAUAAUUGAUUGAAAGAUGCUAUUGCAUCACUACCAGAUGGACCUGCGUUGUAUUAGCUAGUAGGUGAGGUAACGGCUCACCUAGGCGACGAUACAUAGCCGACCUGAGAGGGUGAUCGGCCACACUGGGACUGAGACACGGCCCAGACUCCUACGGGAGGCAGCAGUAGGGAAUCUUCGGCAAUGGACGAAAGUCUGACCGAGCAACGCCGCGUGAGUGAAGAAGGUUUUCGGAUCGUAAAGCUCUGUUGUAAGAGAAGAACGGGUGUGAGAGUGGAAAGUUCACACUGUGACGGUAUCUUACCAGAAAGGGACGGCUAACUACGUG
rnacentral:rRNA from 1 species